rnacentral:rRNA from 1 species
UCGAACGAACUCUGUGUAUUGGAUUGGUGCUUGCAUCAUGAUUUACAUUUGAGUGAGUGGCGAACUGGUGAGUAACACGUGGGAAACCUGCCCAGAAGCGGGGGAUAACACCUGGAAACAGAUGCUAAUACCGCAUAACAACUUGGACCGCAUGGUCCGAGUUUGAAAGAUGGCUUCGGCUAUCACUUUUGGAUGGUCCCGCGGCGUAUUAGCUAGAUGGUGGGGUAACGGCUCACCAUGGCAAUGAUACGUAGCCGACCUGAGAGGGUAAUCGGCCACAUUGGGACUGAGACACGGCCCAAACUCCUACGGGAGGCAGCAGUAGGGAAUCUUCCACAAUGGACGAAAGUCUGAUGGAGCAACGCCGCGUGAGUGAAGAAGGGUUUCGGCUCGUAAAACUCUGUUGUUAAAGAAGAACAUAUCUGAGAGUAACUGUUCAGGUAUUGACGGUAUUUAACCAGAAAGCCACGGCUAACUACGUGCCAGCAGCCGCGGUAAUACGUAGGUGGCAAGCGUUGUCCGGAUUUAUUGGGCGUAAAGCGAGCGCAGGCGGUUUUUUAAGUCUGAUGUGAAAGCCUUCGGCUCAACCGAAGAAGUGCAUCGGAAACUGGGAAACUUGAGUGCAGAAGAGGACAGUGGAACUCCAUGUGUAGCGGUGAAAUGCGUAGAUAUAUGGAAGAACACCAGUGGCGAAGGCGGCUGUCUGGUCUGUAACUGACGCUGAGGCUCGAAAGUAUGGGUAGCAAACAGGAUUAGAUACCCUGGUAGUCCAUACCGUAAACGAUGAAUGCUAAGUGUUGGAGGGUUUCCGCCCUUCAGUGCUGCAGCUAACGCAUUAAGCAUUCCGCCUGGGGAGUACGGCCGCAAGGCUGAAACUCAAAGGAAUUGACGGGGGCCCGCACAAGCGGUGGAGCAUGUGGUUUAAUUCGAAGCUACGCGAAGAACCUUACCAGGUCUUGACAUACUAUGCAAAUCUAAGAGAUUAGACGUUCCCUUCGGGGACAUGGAUACAGGUGGUGCAUGGUUGUCGUCAGCUCGUGUCGUGAGAUGUUGGGUUAAGUCCCGCAACGAGCGCAACCCUUAUUAUCAGUUGCCAGCAUUAAGUUGGGCACUCUGGUGAGACUGCCGGUGACAAACCGGAGGAAGGUGGGGAUGACGUCAAAUCAUCAUGCCCCUUAUGACCUGGGCUACACACGUGCUACAAUGGAUGGUACAACGAGUUGCGAACUCGCGAGAGUAAGCUAAUCUCUUAAAGCCAUUCUCAGUUCGGAUUGUAGGCUGCAACUCGCCUACAUGAAGUCGGAAUCGCUAGUAAUCGCGGAUCAGCAUGCCGCGGUGAAUACGUUCCCGGGCCUUGUACACACCGCCCGUCACACCAUGAGAGUUUGUAACACCCAAAGUCGGUGGGGUAACCUUUUAGGAACCAGCCG